rnacentral:lncRNA from 1 species
CCAAUCUCAAAAGGCUAUAUACCAUAUGAUUCCAACCAUAUGACAUUCUGGAAAAGGCAAAACUAUGGAGACAGUAAAAAAAAAAGAUUAGUCACUAAUUUUUUUUAAAAAGUAUACACACACACACACACACACACACACACACACACACACACACGAGUAUCCUGAUCAUCUUCACUACCUCUCUACUCUGGUUGAAUACCUCUCCUGUAUACUGCCUGGCAAUAUGCUUCCUUUACUCUUCUUAGAUGGUAUUAUAAUUGUUUACUUCUCUGUGAGAACAGGCAUCACACCAGUCAUGUUCACCAUUUUAGCCCUAGCUCCAGCAGAAUGUAAGAAUAUGGUAGGUACUCAAAAAUUAUCUGUUGAAUGAACACAGUAAUAAGUGAACAAAAUAAAUCUAUCCUCACUCCAGCUGAUGACUGUAUAGCAACAAUUCCUCAAACCAUUCUUUUCUGGAAGGGUCUGAUUUAAGUCUAUGUUGGAAAAACAUAGCCAAGUUCCAAUUAGAAAAGUUUUCCUGAAGGUCAGACUGACCCCAGAGUGAGCAGCUAAUUUUCUAGUGGCCUGUGGGUCAAUCGUACCUUUUAUUACUUUUCCAAACAUACGAAGGAAGCAUUAAACAGCUUGGCUGAGUUUCAUCUGUGAAAAUGGUCCAGCUCUGGCCCCUGGAAUAAAGUAGAACAGAGCCCCAGUUUAACAUUCAGAUCACUGCUGCUAUUUUCCUUCUUUACCUUUAAGAGUUUCUGAAUCCCAUCCACCCUGAGCAGGAACUGUUACACUACAUAUAACUAUAGUUGGAAUGUUCUUUUUUGUUUUUGUUUUUGUUUUUGUUUUCACUUUAUUUAUUCCUUUGAAACAAGUCACUUAAUACAGCAUUUAGAUAUUUAAAGUUAUAUACCUCAUAAAUAAAAUCAAUGCAUCUUGAUGACAAUGGCAAAAUCACAUAAGAGUUGUAGAAAAUGAAGUUAGACAUCUUCCAGGUAGCAGCAGUGCAUUACUUCAAACAAUGCUGGCAAAUAGGCAAAACAUUUUUAAAACAAGUAAACACUGUCCAUCUUCAUUAAGAAAAAAUAUUUUCUUAUGCUGUUUUCCCAUCCCUACUUUUUCAAGUCAUAUUCUAAAGCUCUAAUUUGACAGUUUUUACUUGUGGUUUUCUUUCUGCGUCAGGAACCUCUGUCUCUACUGCAUUAAUACAGAAACUAUAGGAAUAUUGUUGUUCUCUAACCCUUUUCACAAGCUAUUCAUAUUCAUUCUGUAUUUAGGCUGAAUUCAAAUUUUUUUCAAGGAAAAAUACUACUCUGCUAAGUACAUAUUUCCUGUAAACAGCUGGAGUCCUGAAUGGCACCAGUGUGACUGAAAACUGACAAAAAUUAGGUCCACUGGUCCUUUAAGUAACUUAUGGGCUAAUAACAUAGGCUAUACCAGUUUAUAAAGUAGACUCACGUAAUCAUAUUAGAAAUUCUGAGCCUAAGAUUAUCCUUUCUGUUUACCUACAACUUAAUCAAAUUAUAUCUUCACUAUUCCUAAACUCCUAUAUGUUGGUUAGUAAUUUUAAAAAUAUAAGUAUAAAAGGGCAUCAUGGCAAAAUGCUUAUAAUUCAUGGUUUCAUACUUUAAUGAUAAGCUUUUUCACCUAUGGCCAUGCUACAUUCUAUGACAAGAAAUGGGGAAGAAGGGUUGAGUUGACACAAAGGCAUUGCUUUAAAAAUGUUUGGAAAAGCAUAAUUCAUGACUAGGAAUGCAUCUAUUUGACAAUCUCUUCUUUAUCAGUGGUACUUUGUCCUCUUGGCCCUUUUCUCCCUUCACUCUACCAUGAGGGGGUUACCAACCUCCUUUAAAUGUAUAUGAAUCAAGACCUAAAUCAGCACCCUACACUUCAACAUCAAUAAUAAUUUUAAGUCAAAUAUUCAAAGCACUGUAAGCAAAAUGCUAGAUAAUUUUGAGAAAAAUAAACACUCUCCCACAACCAGGGAUAUUUAAUAUUCUUUUUAUGUUGAAUGAAAUGUGCUGAAAUACUGUAACAUAAGAAAACAGCUUUAGUUAAUAAACUAGCUUAUUAAAAUCAAGGGUUUCACUUUGGACUUAAAAUGAUGCCACUUGUAUAUGACACUUUUAAGGCCUCUGCCUCAAAAAUCAGCUUCCUUAUAAGUCUGUUUGGAAACAAGUUUUAAGGAUUGAAUCUUUUAGAAAUUAUCAGGAACGUUCUUUUGAGUUCUCAGCAGGCAUCUCUCCUGGAGAGGAAUCCAUUUGAGACAACUUUAAAGCAGCCUCCAACUCAGGUAGAGAUCCGAAAUUUACACAUGUAUCCAGGAUAGGUGACUGACACUCAUGGAUGAUCCCUGGGUCAGUCUCUGACCUCCAGUCCAACUUAUCUUCCUAAAAGUCCCUGUGCAUUUUCUUCUGUCCCUUCCUUCUGUGAGGAGUGUUCCUGUAAUCAGCUGUCCUGAGGUACCUAGGAC